UGGUGCGGAGAGGGCCCACAGUGGACUUGGUGACGCUGUAUGCCCUCACCGCUCAGC
rnacentral:pre_miRNA from 1 species